UACGUAGGGUGCGAGCGUUAUCCGGAAUUACUGGGCGUAAAGCGUGUGUAGGUGGUCUGUUAAGUUAAAUGUUAAAUCUGCGGGCUCAACUCGUAGGCCGCAUUUAAUACUGGCGGACUUGAGGGUGGGAGAAGUAAGCGGAAUUAGCGGUGUAGCAGUGAAAUGCGUAGAUAUCGCUAGGAACACCAAUGGCGAAGGCAGCUUACUAGAACAUUCCUGACACUGAGACACGAAAGCGUGGGGAG
rnacentral:rRNA from 1 species